UGCGAGAGUGAUGAGCUGCACUCUGGUAGAGCAACCGUGUCAGGUGACAUGGGCUCUGCUCAGAAUCUUCCUGAUGACAACACUAAGUGCACAGGGGCCAUCUGACUCGCU